GCACUUUUGCGGAUUUCUUCGGAUUGAAGCAAUUGUGACUGAGCGGCGGACGGGUGAGUAACGCGUGGGUAACCUGCCUCAUACAGGGGGAUAACAGUUGGAAACGGCUGCUAAUACCGCAUAAGCGCACAGUACCGCAUGGUACCGUGUGAAAAACUCCGGUGGUAUGAGAUGGACCCGCGUCUGAUUAGCUAGUUGGUGGGGUAACGGCCUACCAAGGCGACGAUCAGUAGCCGACCUGAGAGGGUGACCGGCCACAUUGGGACUGAGACACGGCCCAAACUCCUACGGGAGGCAGCAGUGGGGAAUAUUGCACAAUGGGGGAAACCCUGAUGCAGCGACGCCGCGUGAGCGAUGAAGUAUUUCGGUAUGUAAAGCUCUAUCAGCAGGGAAGAAAAUGACGGUACCUGACUAAGAAGCCCCGGCUAACUACGUGCCAGCAGCCGCGGUAAUACGUAGGGGGCAAGCGUUAUCCGGAUUUACUGGGUGUAAAGGGAGCGUAGACGGCAUGGCAAGCCAGAUGUGAAAGCCCGGGGCUCAACCCCGGGACUGCAUUUGGAACUGUCAGGCUAGAGUGUCGGAGAGGAAAGCGGAAUUCCUAGUGUAGCGGUGAAAUGCGUAGAUAUUAGGAGGAACACCAGUGGCGAAGGCGGCUUUCUGGACGAUGACUGACGUUGAGGCUCGAAAGCUGGGGAGCAAA
rnacentral:rRNA from 1 species